rnacentral:rRNA from 1 species
AUUGAACGCUGGCGGAAUGCUUUACACAUGCAAGUCGAACGGCAGCACGGACUUCGGUCUGGUGGCGAGUGGCGAACGGGUGAGUAAUGUAUCGGAACGUGCCCAGUCGUGGGGGAUAACGUAGUGAAAAUUACGCUAAUACCGCAUACGAUCUAUGGAUGAAAGCGGGGGAUCGCAAGACCUCGCGCGAUUGGAGCGGCCGAUAUCAGAUUAGGUAGUUGGUGGGGUAAAGGCCCACCAAGCCAACGAUCCGUAGCUGGUCUGAGAGGACGACCGGCCACACUGGAACUGAGACACGGUCCAGACUCCGACGGGAGGCAGCAGUGGGGAAUUUUGGACAAUGGGCGAAAGCCUGAUCCAGCCAUUCCGCGUGCAGGAUGAAGGCCCUCGGGUUGUAAACUGCUUUUGUACAGAACGAAAAGGUUUCUACUAAUACUAGGAGCUCAUGACGGUACUGUAAGAAUAAGCACCGGCUAACUACGUGCCAGCAGCCGCCGUAA